rnacentral:rRNA from 1 species
AGUGAACGCUGGCGGUAGGCCUAACACAUGCAAGUCGAACGGCAGCACAGUAAGAGCUUGCUCUUACGGGUGGCGAGUGGCGGACGGGUGAGGAAUACAUCGGAAUCUACUUUUUCGUGGGGGAUAACGUAGGGAAACUUACGCUAAUACCGCAUACGACCUACGGGUGAAAGUAGGGGAUCUUCGGACCUUGCGCGAUUGAAUGAGCCGAUGUCGGAUUAGCUAGUUGGCGGGGUAAAGGCCCACCAAGGCGACGAUCCGUAGCUGGUCUGAGAGGAUGAUCAGCCACACUGGAACUGAGACACGGUCCAGACUCCUACGGGAGGCAGCAGUGGGGAAUAUUGGACAAUGGGCGCAAGCCUGAUCCAGCCAUACCGCGUGGGUGAAGAAGGCCUUCGGGUUGUAAAGCCCUCUUGUUGGGAAAGAAAAGCAGCAGGUUAAUACCCCGCUGUUCUGACGGUACCCAAAGAAUAAGCACCGGCUAACUUCGUG